ACACCGGCAGCUCUAGUGGUAGCAAUUUUUAUUGGGCCCAAAGCGUCCGUAGCCGGUUUAAUAAGUCUCUGGUGAAAUCCUGCAGCUUAACUGUGGGAAUUGCUGGAGAUACUAUUAGACUUGAGAUCGGGAGAGGUUAGAGGUACUCCCAGGGUAGAGGUGAAAUUCUGUAAUCCUGGGAGGACCGCCUGUUGCGAAGGCGUCUAACUGGAACGAUUCUGACGGUGAGGGACGAAAGUUAGGGGCGCGAACCGGAUUAGAUACCCGGGUAGUCCUAACUGUAAACGAUGCGGACUUGGUGUUGGGGUGGCUUUGAGCUGCUCCAGUGCCGAAGGGAAGCUGUUAAGUCCGCCGCCUGGGAAGUACGGUCGCAAGACUGAAACUUAAAUGAAUUGGCGGGG
rnacentral:rRNA from 1 species